rnacentral:rRNA from 1 species
GACGAACGCUGGCGGCGUGCUUAACACAUGCAAGUCGAACGGAAAGGCCCUGCUUUUGUGGGGUGCUCGAGUGGCGAACGGGUGAGUAACACGUGAGUAACCUGCCCUUGACUUUGGGAUAACUUCAGGAAACUGGGGCUAAUACCGGAUAGGACGAAAGUUUAAAGGUGCUUCUGGCACCGCUGAUGGAUGAGCCUGCGGCGCAUUAGCUAGUUGGUAGGGUAAAGGCCUACCAAGGCGACGAUGCGUAGCCGACCUGAGAGGGUGAACGGCCACACUGGGACUGAGACACGGCCCAGACUCCUACGGGAGGCAGCAGUAGGGAAUCUUCGGCAAUGGGCGAAAGCCUGACCGAGCAACGCCGCGUGAAUGAUGAAGGCCUUCGGGUUGUAAAAUUCUGUUAUAAGGGAAGAACGACUUUAGUAGGAAAUGGCUAGAGUGUGACGGUACCUUAUGAGAAAGCCACGGCUAACUACGUGCCAGCCGCCGCAGUAA